GACGAACGCUGGCGGCGUGCUUAACACAUGCAAGUCGAACGGAAAGGCCCUGCUUUUGUGGGGUGCUCGAGUGGCGAACGGAUGAGUAACACGUGAGUAACCUGCCCUUGACUUUGGGGUAACUUCAGGAAACUGGGGCUAAUACCUGAUAGGAGCUCCUGCUGCAUGGUGGGGGUUGGAAAGUUUCGGCGGUUGGGGAUAGACUCGCGGCUUAUCAGCUUGUUGGUGGGGUAGUGGCUUACCAAGGCUUUGACGGGUAGCCGGCCUGAGAGGGUGACCGGCCCCAUUGGGCCUGAGAUAAGACCCAGACUCCUACGGGAGGCAGCAGUGGGGAAUAUUGCACAAUGGGCGGAAGCCUGAUGCAGCAACGCAGCGUGCGGGAUGACGGCAUUCGGGUUGUAACCCGCUUUCGCCUGUGACGAAGCGUGAGUGACGGUAAUGGGUAAAGAAGCACCGGCUAACUACGUG
rnacentral:rRNA from 1 species